rnacentral:piRNA from 1 species
UGACCUGUAUUUUCCUUCUUCCAGAU